UACGUAGGGUGCAAGCGUUGUCCGGAAUUAUUGGGCGUAAAGAGCUCGUAGGCGGUCUGUCGCGUCUGCUGUGAAAACCCAGGGCUUAACUCUGGGCUUGCUUUCGAUACGGGCAGACUAGAGGUAUGCAGGGGGAGAACGGAAUUCCUGGUGUAGCGGUGAAAUGCGCAGAUAUCAGGAGGAACACCGGUGGCGAAGGCGGUUCUCUGGGCAUUACCUGACGCUGAGGAGCGAAAGUGUGGGGAGCGAACAGG
rnacentral:rRNA from 1 species